rnacentral:ncRNA from 1 species
UGGUCCUGACCCUAAAGUCAAUUUGUACUCAACUUACACAUGCAAGUCUCAGCACCCCCGUGAGAACGCCCUAAACCCCUACUCGGAAUAAGGAGCUGGUAUCAGGCACACUAUAUAGCCCAAAACACCUAGCUACGCCACAUCCUCAAGGAACCCUCAGCAGUGAUCAAUAUUGAAAAUAUGCGACAGCAAGAUUCAGUUAAAGUACAGAGAGCCGGCAAAAUUGGUGCCAGCCGCCGCGGUUAUACCAAUAGACUCUAGUUGACCCUAUCGGCGUAAAGCGUGAUUAAAGGUUUCCCCACCUCAUUUAAGAUUAAAGAUUAAAUCCUCACUAAGCUGUGACACGCUUGUGCCAGAGAAACCCGGAAACGAAAGUUACUUUAAUUUACCCCACUUGAACUCACGACAGUUAAGACACAAACUGGGAUUAGAUACCCCACUAUGCUUAACCGUAAACUUUAAAUUACAUCAUGAACGCCAGAGAACUACGAGCAAAGCUUAAAACUCAAAGGACUUGACGGUACCCCAUAUCCACCUAGAGGAGCCUGUCCUAUAAUCGAUAACCCCCGCUUCACCUUACCAUUUUUAGUCAAUCAGUCUGUAUACCUCCGUCGUCAGCUUACCACGUGAGCGAAUCAUAGUAAGCCUAAUGCCAAUGCGCCAAUACGUCAGGUCAAGGUGCAACUAACAAAAUGUGAAAGAGAUGGGCUACACUUUCUAAUUUAGAAAACACGAAAAACUUUAUGAAAUCUAGUUAGAAGGCGGAUUUAGCAGUAAAAAGAAACUAGAGAGUUCUUUUUAAUACGGCACUGGGGUGUGUACACACCGCCCGUCACCCUCUUCAAGACCCAAAUUUUAUAGUACCUAACUAACUUUCUACCUUAAGAAGAGGUAAGUCGUAACAUGGUAAGUAUACCGGAAGGUGUGCUUGGAAA